GGUGUUGCUGGCCGGCGUGGCGGUGGCGCUGUCGGCGACGCGUUUCGCCAUGCGCCGGUUCGACGCCAGCGCACUGUUGC
rnacentral:tRNA from 1 species